UACGUAGGCAGCGAGCGUUGUUCGGAGUUACUGGGCGUAAAGCGUGCGUAGGCGGUCCCACAAGUCUGUUGUGAAAUCUCCCGGCUCAACUGGGAGGGUGCGGUGGAAACUGUGGGGCUGGAGUGUGGGAGAGGUAGGCGGAAUUCCUGGUGUAGCGGUGAAAUGCGUAGAUAUCAGGAGGAACACCUGCGGUGUAGACGGCUUACUGGACCACUACUGACGCUGAGGCACGAAAGCGUGGGGAGCAAACAGG
rnacentral:rRNA from 1 species